rnacentral:lncRNA from 1 species
CCAACACUUCUACUCAUAUAUCAGCCAGCCCCAAAUAACCAAUCAUCUUCACCCUCAUACCAAGCUCUACCACCAACUUAUUAGUCACAUCCACCUCCUAUAUAUUAGCCUACUUCAUCUAGAUACUCCCAACACGCUCGUGUCUACCAAACCAAUAAUGCUCAACCAUCCCACUAUCAAUCACCUCCUGCACGCCAAAACGUCCCUAGACCUCGACCUAAUUUUGAUCGCAUACCUCCAAAGCAGUCCAUAGCCAUCGCUGAAUCCAUUGACCAGCUGUAUGAGAGACUCAAAGCUGCUGGUUAUAUCACCC